ensembl:lncRNA
GGGAGAACUUCUUUGGUAUUAUUGUUUUCCAGUUUGUGGGUCACCCACCCAGUGGGUAUUGGAUUUGAUUCUAUCAUGAUUGUGUCCCUCCUACCACCUCGAUUCAGCUUCUUUGUUUUUGAAUGUGGGGUAUCUUUUUUUGGUAGGUUCCAGCAUCCUCCUGUCAACUGUCGUGAUUUUGGUGCUCUCACAGGAGAAGAUACCAUUGCAUGUCCUUCUAUUCCCAGGUCAUGGAGUCAGGCCUGACCACUCACUAGGAUGAGAAGGAUGAGAUGUCAGACCUUGUCCCAGCCUGUCCUUACAGUGAAGAACAAAGCUGAGCCAACCUGAGGGCUGGGCAAAAGUGUGGUAAAGGGUUGUUAUGAUGGCCAUUCUAACGGGUAUGUUAACUCAUUGUGGAGUUUAUUUUUUUUUAGCUAUUAUGGUUUUUAAAUUUACCUAUUUAUUUGUUGGCUGCACAUGGGCUUUCUCCAGCUGCACUGAGCAGGGUAGUUUUCAGUGGUGCAUGAUUGUGGUGUGUUGGGUUCGUUGCUCCAAGGCAUGUGGGAUCUUUGCAUCAGACCACUGCAGCAGGGAAGUCAUCACUGUGAUUUUAAUUUGCAUUUCCCUAACAACUAGUGAUGCUGAGUAUCUUUUCAAUAACUGUUGGCCUUCCAUAUAUUUUCUUUGGAAAAAUGUCUAUUCAAUACCACAGCCCUUGAUUACUGUAGCUAUAUAAGGAAGGCUUAGUAUCAGGUAGACUGAGUCAUCCCAUUUUACCUUUCUUUUUCAAAAUUGCUAUAGAUAUUCUAGUUCCUAUUCCUUUCCAUAUAAAUUUCAAAUUAAGAUUUUCUAUGUCUACAAAAACCCUUGGUAGAAUUUUUAAAGGAAUUGCAUUUAAUCUUUAUUUAUAUAGAUUAACUUGGGG